GGCAGCAGUGGGGAAUCUUCCGCAAUGGGCGCAAGCCUGACGGAGCAACGCCGCGUGAGUGAAGAAGGCCUUCGGGUUGUAAAACUCUGUCAUCAGGGAAGAAGAAAGUGACGGUACCUGAGGAGGAAGCCCCGGCUAACUACGUGCCAGCAGCCGCGGUAAAACGUAGGGGGCGAGCGUUGUCCGGAAUUACUGGGCGUAAAGGGCGCGUAGGCGGUUAUCCAAGUCAGGGGUGAAAACCUUGGGCUCAACUCAGGGCCUGCCUCUGAAACUGGGUAACUUGAGGGCAGGAGAGGGGAGUGGAAUUCCCAGUGUAGCGGUGAAAUGCGUAGAUAUUGGGAGGAACACCAGUGGCGAAGGCGGCUCUCUGGCCUAACCCUGACGCUGAGGCGCGAAAGCGUGGGGAUCAAACAGGAUUAGAUACCCUGGUAGUCCACGCCGUAAACGAUGAGUGCUAAGUGU
rnacentral:rRNA from 1 species